CGCAGAGAACUGAUUGUCACAGAAGAGGCCCAGGAGGGGCCCAGCGAGGCCUCCUGGCUCCCGGUGGGGCCAGGCCCGCCCUAAAGGGGGGGGUGGCAGGGUGGCCCUGCCCAGGAUGGCCACCGCUCCGCCCCGCAGAGCCCAGAGCGAGGAAGCCAGGCUGGUGCUGCCCCCCGGUGGCGAUGGCUGGGAUGGCCGGCGCCCGAGUGCAGCGCCCGUCUGCUCGCUCCUUGGUUGUCCCCCAGCGCCCUGUUCAGACGCGGCCGCCGGGGUCUCAGUCCGGGUGUUAGAGGGACCGUGGUCCUCAAACUCCCCCCAGCGGAGGCAGUCCCCAACGCCAUCCCAAGGUGCUGGGGACGCAGCAGGAAAGGCAGCAGGCACCCAAUGUCCGACACCAAUACACAGAGGGGUGUGGAUGCGCUCGAAGGACAGGUGCCGAGGACAGAGUGAGAAGAGGAGAGGGUGACACGUCACCACGUGGGGACAAAAGAGACCCGCGCCUGGGCAGGAACGCCCAGCGGGCUGUUUCAAGACUGGCGGGUGUGGACGCCCUGGGUGUUGGUGGCAGCUGGCAAGCGAGGAGGUCAGAGGCCGAGCUGGAGCGAGGCCAGACCCCCGAGGGGCACUGCCGUUUUCAUGAGGACGAGGCCUUCGUGGGAAUCAGGAAACAGCUUCCAAAAGACGCUUUCUCCCUCAGCUGAAAAACGGAUGUCAUGAUUCACGAAUCGACCGAGCCCGUGGUCGUGCCACAGACCCCUGCCGCCCGGCCAGACGCUCUCCCUCCGCUUCUACCACCUGACUGCUUGCGUGUUCUAGAACUUCAACUAAAUACAAUCCUAGGCCAGGUUUCUUUUGCUCAAAAUCAUUUUCUGAGACGUGUUCCUCUGGCUGCAUACAUCCGAGUGCCUCCCUCCCGUGCUGAACGGGCUCCCUCGUAUGAUAUACACAAUCUGUUUAUCCACUCGCCUGUUGACACAUUUUUUGGUUGUUUCUCAAUUUUGGCUAUUCUGAAU
rnacentral:lncRNA from 1 species